UACAGAGGUGGCAAGCGUUGUUCGGAAUUACUGGGCGUAAAGGGCGCGUAGGCGGCCUUCUAAGUCAGACGUGAAAUCCCUCGGCUUAACCGAGGAACUGCCAUCCAGACUGCUUGGCUUGAGACCGGGAGAGGUGAGUGGAAUUCCCAGUGUAGCGGUGAAAUGCGUAGAUAUUGGGAGGAACACCAGUGGCGAAGGCGGCUCACUGGACCGGUACUGACGCUGAGGCGCGAAAGCGUGGGGAGCAAACGGG
rnacentral:rRNA from 1 species